rnacentral:rRNA from 1 species
UACGGGGGGGGCAAGCGUUGUUCGGAAUUACUGGGCGUAAAGGGCUCGUAGGUGGCCAACUAAGUCAGACGUGAAAUCCCUCGGCUUAACCGGGGAACUGCGUCUGAUACUGGAUGGCUUGAGUUCGGGAGAGGGAUGCGGAAUUCCAGGUGUAGCGGUGAAAUGCGUAGAUAUCUGGAGGAACACCGGUGGCGAAGGCGGCAUCCUGGACCGAUCCUGACGCUGAGGAGCGAAAGCCAGGGGAGCAAAGCGGG